CUACGGGUUGCAGCAGUGGGGAAUAUUGCACAAUGGGCGAAAGCCUGAUGCAGCAACGCCGCGUGAGCGAUGAAGGCCUUCGGGUCGUAAAGCUCUGUCCUCAAGGAAGAAUUUUGACGGUACUUGAGGAGGAAGCCCCGGCUAACUACGUGCCAGCAGCCGCGGUAAUACGUAGGGGGCUAGCGUUAUCCGGAAUUACUGGGCGUAAAGGGUGCGUAGGUGGUCUGACAAGUCAGGGGUGAAAGGCUACGGCUCAACCGUAGUCAGCCCUUGAAACUGUCGGACUUGAGUGCAGGAGAGGAAAGUGGAAUUCCCAAUGUAGCGGUGAAAUGCGUAGAUAUUGGGAGGAACAUCAGUGGCGAAGGCGACUUUCUGGACUGUAACUGACACUGAGGCACGAAAGCGUGGGGAGCAAACAGGAUUAGAUACCCCAGUAGUC
rnacentral:rRNA from 1 species